AGUUAGUCUUUCCUAAUAAGUUUGCUUGAUUUACGGGAUUGGAUAUUAGUAUACUUUGUUUAUUGGGUUUUAACUAAUAAUUUGAUUGACUCGGUUGUUAGAUUUGUGACGAUGCGUCGGACAAACAACAUUGGGAAAAUAUACAGCCUUGAGCCUUGAUGACCAAUGUAUAUCUCUAUUUGAGGAAUUCUCCAAAGAUCCAGAGCCGAUUGUUUCAUAGAGCUAUGAAGUUGCGUUAAACAUACUGGAUUUUGAAUGAUCCGACAAACCAUUCGAGGUACUUGGAAGAUUAAGUCUCUUAUCUGGGUGGUUGUUACAGGUUUAGGAUGUUAAAUGAUUUUGGAUGUACUCUGCGAUGUCGAUGAUGCAGAGAUGUUGGUGAAGCUCAGGUUAACAACUUCAUGUGUAUAUUUUAAUGAAUAAAGUUUUUGUUGUUUAUAUUUUC